rnacentral:misc_RNA from 1 species
GAUGAAGAACGUAGCGAAAUGCGAUACUUGGUGUGAAUUGCAGAAUCCCGUGAACCAUCGAGUCUUUGAACGCAAGUUGCGCCUCAAGCCAUUAGGUUGAGGGCACGUCUGCCUGGGCGUCACAUAUCGUUGCCUGAUGCCAGUUUCCUCGUGAUGGGUGACUGUGCAGGGCGAAUGAUGGCUUCCCGUGAACAUUGUUGCCUCAUGGUUGGUUGAAAAUUGAGUCCUUGGUAGGGAGCGCCGUGAUAGAUGGUGGUUGAGUGACGAACGAGACCCAAUCAUGUGAGACCCCUACCGAAUUUGGCCUUCAUGACCCACAUGCGUCUUUGGAACGCUCAUGACGAGACCUCAGGUCAGGCGGGGCUACCCGCUGAGUUUAAGCAUAUCAAUAAGCGGAGGA